rnacentral:rRNA from 1 species
AGUGAACGCUGGCGGUAGGCCUAACACAUGCAAGUCGAACGGCAGCACAGUAAGAGCUUGCUCUUACGGGUGGCGAGUGGCGGACGGGUGAGGAAUACAUCGGAAUCUACUUUUUCGUGGGGGAUAACGUAGGGAAACUUACGCUAAUACCGCAUACGACCUACGGGUGAAAGCAGGGGAUCUUCGGACCUUGCGCGAUUGAAUGAGCCGAUGUCGGAUUAGCUAGUUGGCGGGGUAAAGGCCCUCCAAGGCGACGCUCCGUAGCUGGUCUGAGAGGAUGAUCAGCCACACUGAAACUGAGACACGGUCCAGACUCUGAGGGGAGGCAGCAGUGGGGAAUAUUGGACAAAGGGCGCAAGCCUGAUCCAGCCAUACCGCGUGGGUGAAGAAGGCCUUCGGGUUGUAAAGCCCUUUUGUUGGGAAAGAAAAGCAGCAGGUUAAUACCCCGCUGUUCUGACGGUACCCAAAGAAUAAGCACCGGCUAACUUCGUG